rnacentral:tRNA from 1 species
GGGCCUGUAGCUCAGUUGGUAGAGCAGUGGACUUUUAAUCCAUGGGUCGCGGGUUCGAGCCCCGCCGGGCCCACCG